ACUUUGAUCAUGGCUCAGGACGAACGCUGGCGGCGUGCUUAACACAUGCAAGUCGAACGAGAAUCUGCGGAAAGAGGAUUCGUCCAAUUGAAGCAGAGGACAGUGGCGGACGGGUGAGUAACGCGUGAGGAACCUGCCUUUCAGAGGGGGACAACAGUUGGAAACGACUGCUAAUACCGCAUGACAUAUAGAUGUCGCAUGGCAUUUAUAUCAAAGAUUUAUCGCUGAAAGAUGGCCUCGCGUCUGAUUAGCUAGUUGGUGAGGUAACGGCCCACCAAGGCGACGAUCAGUAGCCGGACUGAGAGGUUGAACGGCCACAUUGGGACUGAGAUACGGCCCAGACUCCUACGGGAGGCAGCAGUGGGGAAUAUUGGGCAAUGGGCGCAAGCCUGACCCAGCAACGCCGCGUGAAGGAAGAAGGCUUUCGGGUUGUAAACUUCUUUUGUCAGGGACGAGUAGAGACGGUACCUGACGAAUAAGCCACGGCUAACUACGUGCCAGCAGCCGCGGUAAUACGUAGGUGGCAAGCGUUGUCCGGAUUUACUGGGUGUAAAGGGCGUGUAGC
rnacentral:rRNA from 1 species